UUAGAGCCAUGACCUGGUGGGAAGAGGACAAGGAGCAGCGUUAAAGCAGUGUUAGAGCCAUGACCUGGUGGGAAGAAGACAGGGAGCAGCAUUAGAGCAACAUUAGAGCCAUAACCCGGUGGGAAGAAGAGAGGGAGCAGCAUCAGAGCAGCGUUAGAGCCAUGACCUGAUGGGAAGAGGACAGGGAGCAGCGUUAGAGCAGCAUUAGAGCAACAUUAGAGCCAUAACCCGGUGGGAAGAAGACAGGGAGCAGCAUUAGAGCCAUGACCUGGUGGGAAAAGGACAAGAAGCAGCGUUAGAGCCAUGGCCUGGUGGGAAAAAGACACGGAGCAGCAUUAGAGUAGUGUUAGAGCCGUGACCUUGUGGGAAAAGGACAAGAAGCAGCAUUAGAGCCACAUUGGUGACCGUGUGGGGAGAGGACAGAGAGCAGUGUUAGAGCCAUGUUGUGACCAUGUGGGGAGAGGGCAGAAAGCAGCGAUAGAGCCAUGACCCGGUAGGAAGAAGACAGGGAGCAGCAUUAGAGCUGCGUUAGAGCUAUAACUGUGUGGGAAGAAGACAGGGAGCAGCGUUAGGGUCACAUUAGAGCCAUGUUGGUGUCCAGGUGGCAGGGAGAGGCAUUAAAGAAACAUUAGUGACCCUGUGGGGAGACGGCAGCGUGGCGUUAGGGCCACAGUGGUGACCCUGUGGGAAGAGGGCACAGGGUAGGAUUAGAGCUACUUUAGAGAGGUGUUGGUGACCCUGAGGGCAGAGGGCACGGGGUGGUAUUAGAGCCACGCUGGUGAGGAGAGGGCAGGGAGUGGUGUUAGGGCACCAUUAGAGCCAUGAUCCGGUGGGAAGAGGACAGGGGGCAGCAUUAGAGCCAUGACAGGGUGGGGAGAGGGCAGAGAGCAGCGUUAGAGCCGCGUCACAGCUCCAGACUCGCCGCCAGAGGCAAAUGGCCGCGCGCGCCACGUUUGAAAUUCCCGCCUCGCCGCGCCGCGCGCUGAUUGGCUGAGGCAGCUCCUGGCCACGCCCCUUUCCAUCGUCACUGGCUCCCCAGCGCUCGAGGCAGGAGCUGAGCGUUAAUUGGCUGGAGCCUCCCUUGGCUCCGUCCCUUUCGCGUCAUUCACUGGUUACCCGGGCGCUGAUUGGUUGACACUGCUCAUGGCCCCGCCCCUCUGCCAUGCAAUCACUGGCUCCCCAGCGAGGGCGGUGAGUGCUGAUAGGCUGAGACCGCCCUUAGCCCCCGCCCCUCACAGACUGUCCCUGACGCUGACUGGCUGGCGGCGCCCUUGGCCCCGCCCCUUUCCCCGCCGCCGGCUUCCCGCGCGCGCCUCAAGGGCCGCGCGGGCGCCGCCAUGUCGGAUUCCCUCAGUGCGGCGCGUCCCGGGGAGAGGGAGUGGGGCCCUCAAGAUGGAGGCGGGGGGAGCAUCCCCUGCCCCCCCAUACCAAAAACACCCGCGAGUGGAACUCUUUAACCCUCGUUUUUUUGAGUUUUAGGCAGCGAGCAUCCUUUAAGGCAGGGGGGUUGGGGCUGGGUGGUCUUUAAGGUCCCUUCUGACCCAAACUAGUCGAUGGUUCUGUGGUUUAUCAGCCUGGGCAACGCGAGGAGUCAUCUCCAUCCAUCGUGCAGCGAGACCAGAGCUGCUACAGAAGUGAAGCUGUGCAGGGAAAGGAACGUGCAAAGGCUGAUGAGUGAACCCAUCUGGACCGUUAAGGAGAGAGAGAAUGUCUAAUCUUGCUCCCCAUUCAGCUCUCUUUUGGCCAAUGCAGAUGGAGGAGAGGAAGUAAGCAAAACUUGAAGUGUCUCAGUUCCUGAUGACUGCUUCCUGUGAGAUGCUUCGAUGCAGGUCCUGUCAGGACAUCGUGGUGCACUGCAAUCCCUGUGUCCCUCGGACAUACAGGACUGAGUGUGUUUGGGACUACAGCCUUUCAGCCUGAGCCUCGAAAGCCGCUUGCAUAGAGUUUACAGUGCAGAACUUGGCCUCUGAGUUGCCGCCGUCUUGGUUAGAAGGAAUACAAAUAUGCCUGGAUCGCAAGUCCCACUGAGAGGGAAGUGUCCCACGUCUAACAUCCUCUGAAAGGCAGAGCAGACUUGACCACAAGACUGGCUGUAGGACCAACACAGAGUGCUGCAGCAGGGCUUGGCAGAUACGCACGUAAAAGAACCCCAGCAGAGGAUUCCAGAACUCCAGAUGAGGUCUCACAAGAGAGGAACAGAGGGACAGAAUCCCCUCCCUCCCUGCUGGCCACACUGCUUUGGAUGCAGCCCAGGACACGGUUGGCCUUCUGGGCUGUGAGUGCAUAUUACCAGAAUAUAAUGUAGCUCAUGGAAAACUACAGUGAGAGCCGUUUAAUGGGAAUGUUUUCUUUUGAGGAAGGACAUCUUGUUUCCUGACUGGGAAGUGUUGUUGCUUUGGUAGGGUAGCUGCUAAUCCUGUUUCUUGUGGUAUGGUGUAGUCAUAACACGGUGAGCUUUUGAACUGUCUGUUGUGUUGCUUGUGCUCUUUGAGCUUAGAACUGCGUCUCGCGUGCCUUAGCCAAGGCUGCUUGCCUCCUUUGUUGCUUUCACUGACUAGAUCCCUUCCUGACACCCCCCGUGCUGUUCCAAGGCCACUUGACAUAUUUCAGAAGUGUUUCAUUCCUAACCUAAACCCAUGUGCCUAAAUCAGGGGUGCUGCAAAAUCAAGGAUCAACAGGAUUUUACUGGCUCACUCUGGAACAAUGGAUUCCAACAUAAUUCUCCACACAAAUUGAAUUCAAGGCUGCAAAUAUCUCCACACAAGUUGAAUUCAAGGCUGAGCAGAAAAAAAAGUUGUUGAUCCUGUUGUUUGGGUAGAGUUUUUUUGUGAAAAUAAAACCAUAGCAGAAACUGCUUUCACAUGUAAAUCCAGCAGAAGUGUAGCCCUAGGAAUGUAAAUUCUUUGAAACUAAGAUGCAUUCCCUGAAUGAAUUAUUUCACAGCAAGCAAUGCUUGUUAUAGGAUUAGACUUCUAUAUAAUCAUAAUUAAUUAAAUGAGAUAUAUUAAUAACCCAUCUAAAACAGACUCAAACGAGACAUCUCAGGCAUUUUCCUGUAGGUACUUGUUUAUAAGUUUUUUUUCUAUUUAAGAAGCUUUGGGGUGGUUUAUUUUGUGUGUGAGUUUGUUCUUAUAAUUUAAUCCCUAAUCGCGUUAUCAAUUUGAGUAGAAAAAGAUAUAUAAAUGUAAUGUGAGAUUAAACCCCUGGCUUCCAUGCAGGUUGAUAGAAACCCAAGGGAAGCAGUUUUUACAUGGCUCUUUUCUGAAGCCUAACACGGAGGGAAACUUGGAAAGAUAUUCAUAGAAUCAUAGAAUAGUUUGGGUUGGAAGGGACCUUAAAGAUUAUUUAGUUCCAACCCCCCUGCCAUGGGCAGGGACAUCCCACUGGCUCAGGCUGCCCAAGGCCCAUCCAGCCUGGCCUGGAACACCUCCAGGGAUGGGGCAGCCACAGCUUCCCUGGGCAACCUGGGCCAGGGCCUCACCAUUCUCAUG